GUAGGUGGCAAGCGUUGUCCGGAAUUAUUGGGCGUAAAGCGCGCGCAGGGCGGUCCUUUAAGUCUGAUGUGAAAGCCCACGGCUCAACCGUGGAGGGUCAUUGGAAACUGGGGGACUUGAGUACAGGAGAGGAAAGCGGAAUUCCAAGUGUAGCGGUGAAAUGCGUAGAGAUUUGGAGGAACACCAGUGGCGAAGGCGGCUUUCUGGUCUGUAACUGACGCUGAGGCGCGAAAGCGUGGGGAGCAAACAGGAUUAGAUACCCUGGUAGUCCACGCCGUAAACGAUGAGUGCUAAGUGUUAGGGGGUUUCCGCCCCUUAGUGCUGCAGCUAACGCAUUAAGCACUCCGCCUGGGGAGUACGGCCGCAAAGGCUG
rnacentral:rRNA from 1 species